rnacentral:rRNA from 1 species
UAGGGAAUCUUCCACAAUGGACGCAAGUCUGAUGGAGCAACGCCGCGUGAGUGAAGAAGGCUUUCGGGGUCGUAAAACUCUGUUAUUGAAGAAGAACGUGUGUGACAGUAACUGGUCAUGCAGUGACGGUAUUCAAUCAGAAAGUCACGGCUAACUACGUGCCAGCAGCCGCGGUAAUACGUAGGUGGCAAGCGUUGUCCGGAUUUAUUGGGCGUAAAGCGAGUGCAGGCGGUCUUUUAAGUCUGAUGUGAAAGCCUUCGGCUUAACCGAGAAGGGC